UACAGAGGUCUCAAGCGUUGUUCGGAAUCACUGGGCGUAAAGGGUGCGUAGGCGGCACGGUAGGUCAGAGGUGAAAUCCCGGAGCUCAACUUCGGAAUUGCCUCCGAUACUGCCGUGCUUGAGGACUGGAGAGGAGAUUGGAAUUCACAGUGGAGCAGUGAAAUGCGUAGAUAUCGGAAGGAACAUCAGUGGCGAAAGCGGCGCGCUGGACCACUACUGACGCUGAGGAACGAAAGCUAGGGGAGCAAACAGG
rnacentral:rRNA from 1 species